rnacentral:misc_RNA from 1 species
GAUGAAGAACGUAGCGAAAUGCGAUAAGUAAUGUGAAUUGCAGAAUUCCGUGAAUCAUCGAAUCUUUGAACGCACAUUGCGCCCCCUGGUAUUCCGGGGGGCAUGCCUGUCCGAGCGUCAUUGCAACCUUCAAGCGCGGCUUGUGUGUUGGGUCUCGUCCCCCGUGGACGGGCCCGAAAGGCAGUGGCGGCGUCCCGACAUGGUGCCCGAGCGUAUGGGAAUCCUCUUCCGCUCGAAUCGGCCCAUGCGGCGCUGGUCGUAACCAAAUUUUUUACCGGUUGACCUCGGAUCAGGUAGGGAUACCCGCUGAACUUAAGCAUAUCAAUAACGAGGA